rnacentral:misc_RNA from 1 species
UCUCCGUUGGUGAACCAGCGGAGGGAUCAUUACAGAGUUGCAAAACUCCCAACCCUUUGUGAACGAACCUGACAGUUGCUUCGGCAGAAGGCCCUUCACUGGGCAGCCCGCCGGAGGGUCUCCAAACUCUUGAUAAUUUAUGGCCUCUCUGAGUCUUCUGUACUGAAUAAGUCAAAACUUUCAACAACGGAUCUCUUGGUUCUG